GGCAAGAUGGCCGAGUAUGGUUAUGGCGCCAGGUUAAGGUCACCUUAACACCUCAAUUCCUGGUGGAGCAAUCCUCCUGGGUUCAAAUCCCAGUCUUGUCA
rfam:Beauveria bassiana ARSEF 2860 unplaced genomic scaffold BBA_S00034, whole genome shotgun sequence.